rnacentral:lncRNA from 1 species
GGUAAAACCCUUUCCACAUUGGGUUCUACAUGGAACCCAAAAAGGGUUCUACCUGGAUCCAAAAUGGGUUAUCCUAUGGGGACAGGCGAACAACCCUUUUGGAACCCUUUUCUCUAAGAGUGUAUACAUGGGGGCAUAAUGAUAUCUGCUCUGUAACAAUAGAAAAUGCACUAUCUUGAGUUCAUAUGCAUGACACAUUUAAAAAAUACUAUGCAUAUUAUGCAUAAAACUGACAAAAUGUAAUCAUAAUUUCUAUGGGGUAUUUUUUUAUUUAACCAUUAUUUAACUAGGCAAGUCAGUUAAGAACAAAUUCUUAUUUACCAUGACGGCCUACACCGGCCAAACCCAGACAACGCUGGGCCAAUUGUGCGCCACCCUAUGGGACUCCCAAUCACGGCCAGAUGUGAUUCAGGAUUUGAACCAGGGUUCUGGAUUUGAACCAGUGACUGUGGUGACACCUCCUGCACUGAGAUGCAGUGCCUUAGACCGCUGAACCAGGUACUGUAGUGACACCUCUUGCACUGAGAUGCAGUGCCUUAGACUGCUGAACCAGGUACUGUAGUGACACCUCUUGCACUGAGAUGCAGUGCCUCAGACCACUGAACCAGGUACUGUAGUGACACCUCUUGCACUGAGAUACAGUGCCUCAGACCGCUGAACCAGGUACUGUAGUGACACCUCUUGCACUGAGAUACAGUGCCUCAGACCGCUGAACCAGGUACUGUAGUGACACCUCUUGCACUGAGAUGCAGUGCCUUAGACCGCUGAACCAGGUACUGUAGUGACACCUCUUGCACUGAGAUACAGUGCCUUAGACCGCUGAACCAGGUACUGUAGUGACACCUCUUGCACUGAGAUGCAGUGCCUCAGACCGCUGAACCAGGUACUGUAGUGACACCUCUUGCACUGAGAUACAGUGCCUUAGACCGCUGAACCAGGUACUGUAGUGACACCUCUUGCACUGAGAUGCAGUGCCUCAGACCGCUGCGUCACUCGGGAGCCCAAUAGUGGUUAUUGGAUCAACUUACCCCAAGGAAUACAUUUUGACUAUAUUAGCCUGAUGUAUAAAACAAUCUUAAAAUGAUCUACAUUGGUUUAGAUACAAGCAUCAUAAAACCUGUAACACAAUAUUACUUUUUGAAAAUCAAUUUUUUGCAAGUAACCACUUUUUCCAUAUGGUUUCUUUUCACAGACUCCAUGAAAUGAUCAUCUGUUCCUAAAUAUUUGGUCACAUGACUCAUUUUGUGUAUGGUUUCCUGUGUAUGGUCUCCCCUACAUGUCUGACCAGUAGCCAUUUUACCAACAUGCUGCUUUAUGUUUAAUCAAUCGUCCUUCAUUACAAAAGUCUGUCAUGUCCAACCAAUGUUCCAUUGUUCUCUCUGUUACUUGGCACCUGCAGCUGCUGUUGUCGUACUACUCUGCAGUCUG